rnacentral:rRNA from 1 species
UCCGUAGGUGAACCUGCGGAAGGAUCAUUACCGAAUUGUCAACACGAGUUGUUGCUGGUCCUCGAUGGGGACAUGUGCACGCUCUGUUUACACAUCCACUCACACCUGUGCACCCUCUGUAGUUCUGUGGCUUGGGGGCUCUGUCCUCCUGCUGUGGUUCUAUAUCUUUACACACACUCUGUAAUAAAGUCUCAUGGAAUGUACACCGCGUUUAACGCAAUACAAUACAACUUUCAGCAACGGAUCUCUUGGCUCUCGCAUCGAUGAAGAACGCAGCGAAAUGCGAUAAGUAAUGUGAAUUGCAGAAUUCAGUGAAUCAUCGAAUCUUUGAACGCACCUUGCGCCCUUUGGCUAUUCCGAAGGGCAUGCCUGUUUGAGUAUCAUGAACACCUCAACUCUUCAUGGUUUUCCAUGAAGGGCUUGGACUUUGGGGGUCUUGCUGGCCUGUAGUCAGCUCCUCUCAAAUGAAUCAGCUUUCCAGUGUUUGGCAGUGUCACAGGUGUGAUAACUAUCUACGCUUGUGGUUUUCUGCCAGGUAAUCCUCAGUGAUGGGGGUUCGCUGGGGCUUACAAAUGUCUCUCCUUAACGAAAACAGCUUUGUGAACAUUUGAUCUCAAAUCAUGGAGGACUACCCGCUGAACUUAAGCAUAUUAUUAACCGGAGGAAGGGCUAAUUUCCUCCACACUGGCUGCCGUUAUUAAUGNAUCCGAGCUAGGUACUAAGCUUGCCAAAUCAUGGUCAUUAGCUGUUUCGGG